rnacentral:rRNA from 1 species
UACAGAGGGUGCAAGCGUUAAUCGGAAUUACUGGGCGUAAAGCGUGCGUAGACGGUCAUGUAAGUCGGGUGUGAAAGCCCCGGGCUCAACCUGGGAAUUGCAUUCGAGACUGCAUGGCUAGGGUGCGGAAGAGGGAAGCGGAAUUUCCGGUGUAGCGGUGAAAUGCGUAGAUAUCGGGAGGAACACCAGUGGCGAAGGCGGUUGCCUGGAGCUUUGCUGACGCUGAUGCGCGAAAGCGUGGGGAGCGAUCCGG